UAAAAACCACCUCAUUACCGUUCCAGAAGUAUCCAAAGUCUGCAAAACCCACAAUUCUCCCAGUUAACUUCUUAUUCUUCUUCACUAUUCACCCAGGGGAAAAAAUGAGCAGCCGUGCAAGCCGAACUCUUUAUGUAGGCAAUCUUCCAGGAGAUAUUCGUCAGAGAGAAGUGAAAGAUUUGUUUUACAAGUAUGGGCCCAUUGUCGAUGUUGAUUUGAAAAUCCCACCAAGACCUCCUGGCUAUGCUUUUGUGGAGUUUGAAGAUGCUCGUGAUGCUGAAGAUGCUAUUCGUGGUCGUGAUGGGUAUAACUUUGAUGGAUGUCGCCUACGGGUUGAGCUUGCUCAUGGUGGUCGAAGGCAUUCAUCUCCUAGUGACCGUUAUAGCAGUUAUAGCAGUAGCAGUGGAAGUCGUGGACCUUCCAAACGUUCUGACUAUCGUGUUCUGGUUACUGGACUACCAUCUUCUGCUUCAUGGCAAGAUCUCAAGGAUCAUAUGCGUAAAGCUGGGGAUGUUUGCUUUUCUCAAGUAUUUCGUGAUCGUGGUGGUAUGACGGGAAUUGUUGAUUACACAAACUAUGAUGAUAUGAAUCGUGCUAUCAGGAAACUUGAUGAUUCUGAGUUUCGAAAUGCAUUUUCUCGGUCUUAUGUACGGGUAAGGGAGUAUGAUUCAAGGAGAAGCUACUCCAGGAGUCCUAGUCGUAGCCCCUAUGGCAGAAGCAGGAGCUGGAGUCGAAGCCGAAGCCGAAGCUACAGUGACCGGAGCAGGAGCAAGUCUCCUGGAGCGAAAUAUUCUCAUCGAUCUCGGUCUGCAUCUCGUAGUAGAUCCGUUUCUUCAAGAUCUCGUACAGGAUCAUCUCCCCGACCUUCAAGUGACCUGGAAUUGGAUGUUAGGAACAUGAUGUGUUGUGGUGCUUAUAUACUUGCAUCUCUUUGGUGGUUGAGUGCUAGAUAUGAUGAAGUGUGGAUGGGUCGCAAUUUAAAGCUGGAUUAGUCAGAUCUAAGUGCUAUUGGUACCAUCCCACACAUCAGCUGUAUAAAUGAAACUUGAAAAACUACAUCAUCUGUUCCCCAGGACACGGUGAUUCAGAUGGGGAGAGGUGUGUACAGAAGGGAGGAUGUUCUUAACUUUGGCCACUUAUUCGAUGGUACUCUGAGAUCUAUAUUGGUACUAUCCCACACAUCAGCUGUAUAACCGAAACUUGAACAAACACAUCACCUGUUCCCCCAGGACUUGGUGAUACAGAUAGGGAGAGUUUAUAUCUCCUCUUCUCGGUUAUGGAUGGGGAGGAUGUCCUUAACUUUGGCAACUUACUCCAUGGUGCUUUCUAGUGAUUUUUCUUUCUUCUACAUGUUGAUUUGGUUCUCAUAAUCUGCUGGGAAAUGUUCAUUGACAAACGUGAGGUUGUAUUUUAUCAUAUGGUGAUUUGAACCUAUUUUUUGAAGUUGCUUCUAAAGAUUGGUGGUAUUUUGUAUUUCUGUUUUUGUUGCCGGACUCUGAGGUGGAAAUGGCACCUGAGGCUUUUGGAUCAAGGAUUAUAAUGGGUUCUUGUGGAUAAUUGGGUUGUUUCUGGAAAUUUUUUGCAGAUCCCUAUCCAGAUCAAGAUCUCCACUUGCAUCUUCUCCUAGCAAGCGAUCAGGUAGAGACCUCAGCAAACGUGGCAGGAGCAGGAGCAGGAGCAGGAGCAUUGGAUCUCAAUCGCGUUCAUCUUCUGUGAGAUCUGAUAGAAGCCAAUCAAUGGACUCGAGGGACCGCUACUGAAGAUUGUCAUUGAACUGUAGGAGAGCUAUAAAAAUACUAGAGUUAGCAUACAAAUACAAUUGCAUUUCAGACUAUUGCUGGUUGAUUAUUUGAUCACAUUUUUCUCCUAGUCAUUAAAACGGAUCUGAAGAAUGUUCAAACUGAUCUUGGAGAGGUUACUCAAACUGCUGUUUGGAUAAGAGUUUUUAUACUCCUCUUCUGUUUUUAACUUUCCUGGUCUGUGGUAAUAGUUGUUCAAUUUUUAUAAUUUCAGGAUGAAAAAGCGGUGAAAUUCUACCGUUGCUUGUA